rnacentral:rRNA from 1 species
AGCAGCCGCGGUAAUUCCAGCUCCAAUAGCGUAUAUUAAAGUUGUUGCAGUUAAAAAGCUCGUAGUUGAAUUUCGGGGUCAGUAGGUCGGUCGUGCCACUGGUAUGAACUGGUUUUACUGAUUCCUCCCUCUUGAAGAACUGUAAUGCCAUUAAUUUGGUGUUGCAGGGAAUCAGGACUGUUACUUUGAAAAAUUAGAGUGUUUAAAGCAGGCUUUAGCUUGAAUACAUUAGCAUGGAAUAAUGAAAUAGGACGUUUGAUCCUAUUUUGUUGGUUUCUAGGAUUGACGUAAUGAUUAAUAGGGAUAGUUGGGGCAUUAGUAUUCAAUUGUCAGAGGUGAAAUUCUUGGAUUUAUUGAAGACUAACUACU